CAGGAACAGAGCUUGGAAGAAAGAAGAAAAAGAAUGGCACACACGUUCGAAAUGGAAUUGCAGGGUCUAAACUCUUAUGAGGGUCACAUUUCCCCAAGACAUGGCAUGGGCAGCGCUAUGAAGAGGCCCACAUGGCAAGGAACUGAACCCAGUCAGAUCUUCAGAGACUGCAGCCCUCACAGUCUGGCUGCAACCUGCUAAGAAACCUCAAUGCAAAAGCACUCGGCUAAGUCACUCCCAGAUUCCUGAUCCUUCAAAAUUGUAUAAGAUAAUAAAUAUUUCUUAUUUUAAGCUGCUACAUUUUGGGGUAAUUUGUUAUGCAGCAACAGAUAGUACACUUGUG
rnacentral:lncRNA from 1 species